ensembl:lncRNA
CAAAAGAAACAUAUUAGGAAAAAAAACAUCAUCAGAUGCAAGGAAGUUAAUGCCAGCCCCUUGUCUUCCCGAAAAUACCAUUCUGCUGGAGAAUGAAGGGAAGGAUUGUUUGGGUCCUCCCAACACAAGGCCAUGGAUGGAGUGUGGCACAAACAAUCCUUUUACAACCAGACAUGACCUGACCUGCUCGCCCCUCGCUCCAAGUGCAGGGCUUGACAUUUCAGGCCAGCCAUGUGAGAUACUGCAUGAGAUCACUCUGCAUUUGACCCAAAGUGCUUGGUUAGAGAAAUACUCACCCAGCUACUCCUCAUCAUGCUUCAGAGCAUCAAUAGCAGCAAAUGAGCUGCCAGUCACAGAGGAAAAUACUGCUGCUGGAGAAAACUCCCCAUUUAGCAGCACAAACCUCAUCAUUAAUGUUAUCAUUAGCAUUAUUUUUAAUUAUUAAUUUAUCUCUGCGAGGCAUGGAGGUCAGGAUCAGGGUUCGGUUGUUGUUUGACUUUCCAAAACGCAGUGACUUUGGUGGAGGAGGUUGUCUGAACACCAGUGAUCCCUUCCUUAUGACCUCUGGGAUGUGUGGGGCACAAGACAGGUGUCCUUUUCCAGGACAUGUGAUCCAUUGAAGAGCUCUCCUAGCCAUGCCUAGUGAGAUGGAAAGAGAGAGCAGCAUCAGUUUGGCUGAUUCUUUACCUGAAAGAGCCAUGGUUUCACCAAGGCUUGGUGAUUCACUGUUGAAGCAGAGAGCCCAGGAGAUCCCUGAAAAGCUGGAUUGGGUGUCCCUCCUAGCAUGGAAAAUAAAUGAGGACAACAGCUGGCACUGAUAGAAGUCCCUUUUCUGCAGCAAUAUCUGCCAUUUCACAUACACGAGCAGCUCAACCCAAUGAGGGCCAACCCAGCUGUACAGACAACAGGCAAAGAGAUGGAGGGAAGAAAGAUUGGGUUAAAAACAGGAAAUGCGUGUCUGAGAACAGAUACCAGCCCACCAACCACUUCCUGGCCAAAUUUAACACAAACACGAGCCCAAAGCACAGUGAACAUCUCUUCUGUGGCCAAGAACCGGAUCCGCCUCCUCUCCACUUCUGAAACAAAAUAAAC